rnacentral:lncRNA from 1 species
CCUAGACGCCCAGACCAUCCUGCUGCAGGAGAGCCUGAGAGAGGAGAGAGAAGAGAGGGAGAAGAGAGAAAGAGAGGAGAGAGAGGGGGGAACAUCCGUGAGUAUUUAUAGGCAUACAGCCAGGACACCUAUGACCCAUUUAUAUAAUCUCUGUCUGACCCAAAUCUACCCCCCCCCCGUCCUUUUUUCUCUUUAUCAGCGUCUGCCAAGUUUGCUGGAGGAGACUCGGUGAGUACCCCAAAGUUAUGGCCAGGAGUUUUUCCUUGAGUUUCCCAUAGCCAAUGGAAAUCAUCAGACCUCACACUCAUUCUGCUCUGUUGUCAUGUUUACCAGGGGGAAGCCUUCUGAUAUCCACUACCUGAAGGUCAUCUGCAAAGGAAGCUUUGGGACGGUGGUGUUAGCGAUACACAGACAGAGUGGAAGUAUGUACGCUUUAAAGGUUCUACAGGAACAGGUCAUACUGAGGAAGAAAGAAGUAUCUAUUAUUCCAUUCCAUUUCCGUUAUAUUCUAAUUCCAUUCCAUUCUAUUCCAUUCUAUUUCCGUUCCAUUCUAUUUCCAUUCCAUUCUAUUUCCGUUCCAUUCUAUUUCCAUUCCAUUCUAUUUCCAUUCUAUUCUAUUCUAUUCUAUUUCCAUUCCAUUCUAUUUCCAUUCCAUUUCCGUUAUAUUCUAAUUCCAUUCCAUUCUAUUUCCAUUCUAUUUCCAUUCUAUUUCCGUUCCAUUCUAUUUCCAUUUCAUUCUAUUUCCGUUCCAUUCUAUUUCCAUUCCAUUCUAUUUCCAUUCUAUUCUAUUUCCAUUCUAUUUCCAUUCCAUUUCCGUUAUAUUCUAAUUCCAUUCCAUUCUAUUUCCAUUCCAUUCUAUUUCCGUUCCAUUCUUUUUCCGUUCCAUUCUAUUCUAUUUCCAUUCCAUUCUAUUUCCGUUCCAUUCUUUUUCCGUUCCAUCCUAUUUCCAUUCCAUUCUAUUUCUAUUCCAUUUGUCACGGCUGUUGAAGGAAGAACUGGACCAAGGUGCAGCGUGGUCAGCGUACAUGUUCUCCUUUUAUUCGAAAUGACGCCGACAAAACAAUAA